GGACAACCUACCCUUGAGUCGGGGAUAAACCCGGGAAACUGGGUAUAAUACCCGAUAGUCCUCGGCUGCUGGAAUGCAUCGAGAACGAAAGCUCCGACGCUCAAGGAUGGGUCUGCGGCCUAUCAGGUAGUAGUGGGUGUAGCGUACCUACUAGCCUACGACGGGUACGGGUUGUGAGAGCAAGAGCCCGGAGAUGGAUUCUGAGACACGAAUCCAGGCCCUACGGGGUGCAGCAGGCGCGAAAACUUUACAAUGCUGGAAACAGCGAUAAGGGGACCUCGAGUGCCAGGUUACAAAUCUGGCUGUCGUGAUGCCUAAAAAGCAUUGCAUAGCAAGGGCCGGGCAAGACCGGUGCCAGCCGCCGCGGUAACACCGGCGGCUCGAGUGGUAACCGUUAUUAUUGGGUCUAAAGGGUCUGUAGCCGGCCGGAUAAGUCUCUUGGGAAAUCUGGCAGCUUAACUGUCAGGCUUUCAGGAGAUACUGUCUGGCUCGAGGCCGGGAGAGGUGAGAGGUACUUCAGGGGUAGGGGUGAAAUCUUGUAAUCCUUGAAGGACCACCAGUGGCGAAGGCGUCUCACCAGAACGGACCUGACGGCAAGGGACGAAAGCUAGGGGCACGAACCGGAUUAGAUACCCGGGUAGUCCUAGCCGUAAACGAUACUCGCUAGGUGUCGGCCACGGUGCGACCGUUGUCGGUGCCGUAGGGAAGCCGUGAAGCGAGCCACCUGGGAAGUACGGCCGCAAGGCUGAAACUUAA
rnacentral:rRNA from 1 species